UACGUAGGAUGCAAGCGUUGUCCGGAAUUAUUGGGCGUAAAGAGCGCGCAGGCGGUCGAUCAAGUCAGAUGUGAAAUAGUCCGGCUUAACCGGAAGGGGUCAUUUGAAACUGGUCGACUAGAGUACAGCAGAGGAUAGCGGAAUUCCCGGUGUAGUGGUGAAAUGCGUAGAUAUCGGGAGGAACACCAGUGGCGAAGGCGGCUAUCUGGGCUGAAACUGACGCUGAGGCGCGAAGGCUAGGGGAGCAAACAGG
rnacentral:rRNA from 1 species